GCAGUGUAUAUAUUUACAAUAUAAAUUUUGAAACCUAUUGAAAUAUUUUCUUGAGAAUUAUUUGAAAAGACUUGCAAAAUUUCAUAAAUUUGGUGCAAAAUGACGGUGGGCAUGGAUAACAUAAACAAGCUCCGUUGGAAGUUGGUCAUGAUACUAUUUGGCUUUAAUUUUUAAAACACAAUAAUAAAGUACUAACACAACAUAUAACUGUUUUAUCCAGGUUUUUAUCUUAAAAGUUGUAAAUUUAGAAAAUGUUAAUAUUGUCGCCUAUGGCAGAAUAAAUAGUACCGUUUUCCCUAUA
rnacentral:lncRNA from 1 species